UACGGGGGGAGCAAGCGUUGUUCGGAUUUACUGGGCGUAAAGGGCGCGUAGGCGGCCAGCACAAGUCAGUUGUGAAAUCUCCGGGCUUAACUCGGAAAGGUCAACUGAUACUGUGCGGCUAGAGUGCAGAAGGGGCAACUGGAAUUCUCGGUGUAGCGGUGAAAUGCGUAGAUAUCGAGAGGAACACCUGCGGCGAAGGCGGGUUGCUGGGCUGACACUGACGCUGAACUGCGAAAGCUAGGGGAGCGAACGGG
rnacentral:rRNA from 1 species